CAAAUACUCCCUCCGUCCGUAAAUACUUGUCAUCAAAAUGGAUAAAAGGAAAUGUAUCUAGACGGAUUUUCGUUUUAGAUACAUCUAUUUUUAUCCAUUUUGAUGACAAGUAUUUUCGGAUGGAGGGAGUAGAAA
rfam:Triticum aestivum genome assembly, contig: Triticum_aestivum_CS42_TGACv1_scaffold_132922_2BL